UGUGUCAGUUUGCAGGAAGUGACCCAGCUCCGCUGUGAACUUCAGCAGGGGAGAGGUGUGCUGUGGCUGCAGGGAGGUCAUGCUCUUCCAGCCAGCCAGGCUGGAGUCACCUUGAGUCCACCUCCAUCACAGGACAAAAAGGAAGGUUGUGCAAGGCUGGAGUCAGACAGUCAGUGUUUAUCAUCAUGGCUAUGCCCAUCCGAAGGCUUUCCAUCAUCCUGUGAAACUGGAACUAAAUGUGCUGAAGUAGUGUGAUUAGAAGAUGGGAGGUUGACCCUGAGCUGGGAACUGCUGCAUUCCUGCUGCCUUCAGCAAUGCGGAACAGCCACUUGGUGACAGCGAAACCAGAUGCAUUUGGAAACAUCCACCCCUGUCUGAGGAGAGCUUUCUUCCUUCUUCAGUAGAAGAAACAUUUUCUUCAAGUGCCAUGGAUACAUACAGAGUAUGUAUUUAUGAGCUUUCACUGACUCAUAAAAUUGUUUAGGACAAGAGUACCCAGAUCCAACAUCUCAAAAUCAUUAGAAAAAGCAAUUUAAAAUUAAUAGGGCCAUACCCAUUAAUCAGUGAAAGGACAGUUGAACAAGACUUCUGUAAAAGCAACAGUAGUGAUUUAAAAUAAAAAUUUAAUUAGAUAUUGGAGUCA
rnacentral:lncRNA from 1 species